GCGGCAGGCCUAACACAUGCAAGUCGAGGGGUAACAGAGAAGCUUGCUUCUGCUGACGACCGGCGCACGGGUGCGUAACGCGUAUGCAACCUACCUCAUACAGGAGAAUAGCCCUUGGAAACGAGGAUUAAUACUCCAUGGUAUCAUUCUUUCGCAUGUUAGAAUGAUUAAAGAAUUUCGGUAUGAGAUGGGCAUGCGUCCCAUUAGCUUGUUGGUGAGGUAACGGCUCACCAAGGCAACGAUGGGUAGGGGGCCUGAGAGGGUGGUCCCCCACACUGGUACUGAGACACGGACCAGACUCCUACGGGAGGCAGCAGUGAGGAAUAUUGGUCAAUGGAGGAAACUCUGAACCAGCCAUGCCGCGUGAAGGAUGACGGCCCUAUGGGUUGUAAACUUCUUUUAUAUGGGAAGAAACUUAUCUACGUGUAGAUAACUGACGGUACCAUACGAAUAAGGAUCGGCUAACUCCGUGCCAGCAGCCGCGGUAAUACGGAGGAUCCAAGCGUUAUCCGGAUUCAUUGGGUUUAAAGGGUCCGUA
rnacentral:rRNA from 1 species